rnacentral:rRNA from 1 species
UACGGGGGGGGCAAGCGUUGUUCGGAAUUACUGGGCGUAAAGGGUUCGUAGGUGGCCUGCUAAGUCAGACGUGAAAUCCCUCAGCUUAACUGGGGAACUGCGUCUGAUACUGGAAGGCUUGAGUGCAGGAGAGGAACGCGGAAUUCCAGGUGUAGCGGUGAAAUGCGUAGAUAUCUGGAGGAACACCGGUGGCGAAGGCGGCGUUCUGGACCGACACUGACGCUGAGGAGCGAAAGCCAGGGGAGCAAACGGG